GAUCUAUAGUAUUUUCCGAACACAGAGACUCAACCACGCUUGAAUCAAAAAAUUUCCAAAGCUUUGAUACCACUAUCGGUCCUAAAUAAUAUGUUUGUGCCUUUAACUCGUAAAUCAAAUGCAGUUAAAAUGAGAAAAUAAUAACACAACACAAGAUUUUUCGACCCAAAAGCCCCUAGGUUCGACGAUUGCUUCCAACGCCUAAUCCCCGUUGAGCAUCCAUUAGGAUUAAGCUCGAAUUCACUAUAAAUCGCCACAAAAAUAGGUAAAAGUUUCGUUACAGAACACUUAGUUCUAACUCUCUCAAAAAUACAAGAUCUUCUCACAAUAACCCAGAACUCACACAAGAGUUCAUCACAAGAAUAUUUUCUCUCAUGAAAUCACAAAGAAAUCGUAGAAGUAUAAGAGUUUUAGAGAAGAUGAAAAACAAAAUGAGAGAGAAGUUGCUGGAAUGAUAUUCACCUGUGACAACCCUGGAUAUUUUUGCUUUUAUGAGAGAGAGAGUCUUGCAUUUGAUCCAACGGUCCAUGCCUUGCCACUUG
rnacentral:lncRNA from 1 species